rnacentral:rRNA from 1 species
GAGUUUGAUCCUGGCUCAGGACGAACGCUGGCGGCGUGCUUAACACAUGCAAGUCACGGGGGCCCGCAAGGGCAACCGGCGAACGGGUGCGUAACACGUGAACAACAUUCCGAUUUGUGGGGGAUAGCCGGCCUAACGGCCGGGUAAUACCGCAUACGCUCAUCGAGGGGAGUCCCUUGGUGAGGAAACCUCCGGGGCAAAUCGAGUGGUUCGCGGCCUAUCAGCUAGUUGGCGGGGUAAUGGCCCACCAAGGCGACGACGGGUAGCUGGUCUGAGAGGAUGGCCAGCCACAUUGGGACUGAGAAACGGCCCAGACUCCUACGGGAGGCAGCAGUGGGGAAUCUUGCGCAAUGGACGAAAAGUCUGACGCAGCGACGCCGCGUGAGGGAGGAAGCUCUUCGGGUGUAAACCUCUGUUGCCUGGAACGAAACUCGGGAUUCGUCCCGAUUGACGGUACCAGGUGAGGAAGCGCCGGCUAACUCUGUGCCAGCCGCCGC